rnacentral:lncRNA from 1 species
ACCACAAAAGAAUAUGGGAAAUAUCAAUGUACACAUGUUUUUUUCAACCUUACUAAUUAUUUGUUUUUUUGUGCUUUUUUCUGUUGAACACAAAGUCAAAAUAUGUGACUUCUUUCAUCUUCUCCCGUAGGUUCACAACUUUUCUCUGCCAAUAUCCACCUUCAGAUCAGUGAAAAAAAAUAUGCCUAAAAUUUGCUUCCGGGAUUAUCAGCUGAUGAACCCAUUGAAAAACAUGUUCCACCCAAUUACGAUAUACAUAAAAGUGAAAAACAAAGGAGCAGAGCUGCCUCUUCUAAAAAAAAUCAGAACAGACAACAGAGUAAGCCCAUGUUUCCAUAUUCAGCCGUAUACAAAUCAUGUUCUUUUGAAACGACAUACAAUCUCAUCUAUGAAGUAAAAAUUCUACCAAAACCUUUACCUCAUCUCAUCGAAAAUAAGGAAGAUCUGAAACCUCCGAGCUAAGAAUUGCAUAUUCUCCACUGAUUGAGAUCCAAAAAAAAACCUCCAAUCUUGGUCGCUAUAACAUGUGAUUCUUUCCUCCAUUUAAUACAGACUAAUAUGACUGAAAAAUCAUAGAGAAACCCAGUAACCCUUUGAAUCUUCAUCGUUGUUAGGUUUGAGAUAGUUUCACAUCUUAAUCGUCGCAGAGCCGGAUAUUCAAAUAUUUUAAAGAUCCUUCACAUAUAUUAUUU